rnacentral:rRNA from 1 species
UCAGAUUGAACGCUGGCGGCAGGCCUAACACAUGCAAGUCGAACGGUAACAGGAAGCAGCUUGCUGCUUUGCUGACGAGUGGCGGACGGGUGAGUAAUGUCUGGGAAACUGCCUGAUGGAGGGGGAUAACUACUGGAAACGGUGGCUAAUACCGCAUAAYGUCGCAAGACCAAAGAGGGGGACCUUCGGGCCUCUUGCCAUCAGAUGUGCCCAGAUGGGAUUAGCUWGUUGGUGAGGUAACGGCUCACCAAGGCGACGAUCCCUAGCUGGUCUGAGAGGAUGACCAGCCACACUGGAACUGAGACACGGUCCAGACUCCUACGGGAGGCAGCAGUGGGGAAUAUUGCACAAUGGGCGCAAGCCUGAUGCAGCCAUGCCGCGUGUAUGAAGAAGGCCUUCGGGUUGUAAAGUACUUUCAGCGGGGAGGAAGGUGUUGUGGUUAAUAACCRCAGCAAUUGACGUUACCCGCAGAAGAAGCACCGGCUAACU